rnacentral:rRNA from 1 species
AGAUUGAACGCUGGCGGCAUGCCUAACACAUGCAAGUCGAACGGGAGUAGCAAUACUCUAGUGGCGGACGGGUGAGGAAUACGUAGGAAUUUGCCCUUAAGUGGGGGAUAACCCGGGGAAACCCGGAUUAAUACCGCAUGACCUCGAAAGAGCAAAGUGGGGGAUCGCAAGACCUCACGCUUUUGGAGAAGCCUACGUCGGAUUAGCUAGUUGGUGAGGUAAUGGCUCACCAAAGGCGACGAUCCGUAACUGGUCUGAGAGGAUGAUCAGUCACACCGGAACUGAGACACGGUCCGGACUCCUACGGAGGCAGCAGUGGGGAAUAUUGGACAAUGGGCGCAAG